rnacentral:tRNA from 1 species
GUUUCUCAUUUAUAUAGUUUAAUAAAAACAUUACUUUUUCAUUGUAAAAUUAAAUACUCUAUUUUAUAA